rnacentral:rRNA from 1 species
CGUUGUCCGGAAUUAUUGGGCGUAAAGGGCUCGUCGGCGGUUUGUCGCGUCGGGAGUGAAAUCCACUGGCUUAACUGGUGGCUUGCUUUCGAUACGGGCAGACUGGAGGUAUGCAGGGGAGAACGGAAUUCCUGGUGUAGCGGUGAAAUGCGCAGAUAUCAGGAGGAACACCGGUGGCGAAGGCGGUUCUCUGGGCAUGUCCUGACGCUGAGGAGCGAAAGUGUGGGGAGCGAACAGG